GCGAGAGUGCUGGAACUGGCAGACAGGCAGGCUUGAGGUGCCUGUGUCUCAUUUAUAGGCGUGUGGGUUCAAGUCCCAUCUCUCGCACCA
rnacentral:tRNA from 4 species